rnacentral:rRNA from 1 species
AGUGAACGCUGGCGGUAGGCCUAACACAUGCAAGUCGAACGGCAGCACAGUAAGAGCUUGCUCUUACGGGUGGCGAGUGGCGGACGGGUGAGGAAUACAUCGGAAUCUACUUUUUCGUGGGGGAUAACGUAGGGAAACUUACGCUAAUACCGCAUACGACCUACGGGUGAAAGCAGGGGAUCUUCGGACCUUGCGCGAUUGAAUGAGCCGAUGUCGGAUUAGCUAGUUGGCGGAGUAAAGGCCCACCAAGGCGACGAUCCGUAGCUGGUCUGAGAGGAUGAUCAGCCACACUGGAACUGAGACACGGUCCAGACUCCUACGGGAGGCAGCAGUGGGGAAUAUUGGACAAUGGGCGCAAGCCUGAUCCAGCCAUACCGCGUGGGUGAAGAAGGCCUUCGGGUUGUAAAGCCCUUUUGUUGGGAAAGAAAAGCAGCAGGUUAAUACCCCGCUGUUCUGACGGUACUCAAAGAAUAAGCACCGGCUAACUUCGUG